rnacentral:lncRNA from 1 species
UAAUAAUCACCAAGCACUAUUCAUGGAAAAUAGUUGAAUUAAUAAGCAUUCUAUUUAUUUCAUCCUAUCAUCCUAUAAUCUAGCACUCACAAAGAAAGGGACAGAGGCAUUGUGCUGGGAGAUUCGGAGCACGUGAGUCGCAACUUGGGGUAUUGUAGGUGCAUAAAUUUGGAGGAGGUUAAGAGUGCUAUUCGUAGGAUGCACAAGGGGAAGAGCAAUCGGGCCAGAUGAGAUCUCUGUGGAAUUUUGGAAGAGUGCGGGCAAGGCAAGUUUGGAGUGACUAACUAGGUUGUUUAAUGUCAUUCUUAAGACAGCCAAAAUGACCGAAGAAUGGAGGUGGAGUACAAUGAUUCAAGAGAGGUAGAGGUAGGUCGAAGAAACAUUGGGGAGAUGUGAUUAGACAAGACAUGGCACAACUUCAUUUACUAGAGGACAUGGCCUUAGAUAGGAGGCAAUGGAGGACACGGAUUAUGGUAGAAAGCGAGUAGGUAUUUGAGCGUUGUCUCACUUAUUAUUCCAUACUAGUAGUCGUAGUAUUACUCUUAUAGUUUUUUGUUCUUCGAUUUCUGUUCCGAUAUGUUGUUUCUUGUACUUCGAUUAUAGUAUUAUUAUAUUGUAGUUAUUGUUCCUUUUUCCCGGAAUGUUGUCAUGCUAUUUUUAGUAUUUUGUCGUGGGUUCUUCACUUGUAUUAUUUCUUUUCCUGAACUGCUUGCUUAUCCUUGAAAUGAGGGUCUAUCAAAAACACCCUCUCUACCUCCAAACUCCAAAGGUAGGGGGUUAAGGUCUGCGUAUAUACUGCCUUCCCCAAACCCCACUUGUGGAUUACACUGGGUAUGUUGUUUUGGUUGUUGUAUUAUCCUAAUCUAGCACUCGUCAACUUAAAUUAGUAAUAACAAACUUCGUUCUACUUUUUCUCUUGUUUUUUUGGCUAGUUUUGGCAAAGGGAAGUAGCAAGUCUGAGGCAGCAGCUGCAUUACUUGCAAGAAAAUCACAGGUAUAUCUUCUACAUGCCUUGAUGCCAUAGGAUCUUUUGUUGUAUAAGCUACAGAUUAAGCAGUAUGAUGCCUUUACACACUACAGGGUGAGCAUUUGAUACCUUUUAAUUUUUUGAAUUAUGUGAAUCACCUUAUCUAAAGGGUAAACUAUUUUAGUGGAGAUAUUUUUUAAUUAUCUUUUAGCACGAGCCUCUCCCACUGUCAAGAAUGACCCUUCCCUACUUUGCUCCUCUUGAUGAUUCAAACCCUGACCUCAAUUUUGGAGGUUGAUAAGCUGCUUAACUUAGAUCCCAAGGACAACUUUGUGAAUCAUUACACAUUUUUGCAAAGACAAAACUUUAGCUACACUCAUAAUUGAGGAAGUAACUAUUGCCACACAAAAAGUAUGUAAGUUGGAAAUAUUUUGUGAUCUAGCAGGCAUCUCUAUAAGGUGUAAAGUUCCUUGGACACUUGGAGAGGUUGGAGUAGUACAAUUAUUUAGAAUAUUUUACUUGGUAGUUGGAAUUUUAUUUUAUUUUUAUGACAAGGGAAACCCGCAGCCGCUACCCUUUGGGUGCGCACGGGGUAAAAACCCCGCUCCUAUGCAAUAGCUCGCAAACCACAUAGGAGAGGUAACCCGCACUAGGCAAGCCCGGUGCGACGAGCUCGACCCAGAAGGCAAACCCCUUGCUUUCGCUGGCAGGGGGUUUCGAACUUGAGACCUCCAACAUGGAAGUCCCAACCCCAAACCACUGGGCCACCCUGAAGGGUACUUGGUAGUUGGAAAUACAAAAUGUAUUCUACUGUACAACUCUACUGGCAAAUGUGGAAGAAACAGAAAAAGAAAAAAAAAAGAUUUGAGUAUGAUAAAAGCCAAAAUAUAUAGCAUUGUUGAUUCCAUUUGACCUAUUAUCUAUCCUUUGAAAAUGCAAGACAUCCCAUUUAAUCACCUCUUUCACUUUCACUUUUUUUCCUUGACUUACCUCAAACAAAUAAAAGCCAUCUUGAGGUACUAACUGUAAUCCGAGGCACACAUAUGAGAAGACAAAAGGCAUUUAAGGGGGUUCUUCUUUACUGUUGAAACAGUUCCUUGUGGUUUCUCAAAGUUUCUUUUGUUAGUUUUUAUGGUUCGGGGAAAAUAAACAAUUGGAAAACAGAACCCCAACAAAGAUGCUCCAAAUUCAUGUUGUUCUAAGGUUCAAUCUUCUCAAGCAUAAUUGUAAUUCAGGGUUUCUGGUAAAAGACUUAUGGUGCAAGGCAAUAAAGGCUGUGAAAACAGAACAACAUAAAGAUGCCAUGAUUAUUGAUUUUGGAGGACAUAAGAUGCACUCCUAUAUAGCAAUUUAUGGACAUACAAAAUUUAUAAGUGCACAAAAGAAUUCUGAACAGAGAAAUAAUUUUCUACUGCUUGGUUGCUAGUGAUUGAUUGUUAGUAAUAAGAACCACUGCACCAAUAAAUUAUAAAUGUAGAUGCAAAAAGAUUAAAUAAAAAGGCAAAGACUAGUCAAACUCAAAUAUCAUAUAAAUUAAUUCAAUUAAGAAAGAACUUGGAAAAAUUCUGAAUAUAAAAACUUACAAAUCCAAGAAUUACUUAGGAAAUGACACCCAAGAUUUGAAAUUGCAAUGUUUUCUUCCAUGUGUUACUGUGAAUAACUCCAAGAAAAGAGAAGAAUAAUUAUUGAAAAUAUGAAGAUGAACAUCUCCUUUUACUUUGCUACAGGGCAUGAUUCGAAGUUGUAAGCAUGCUUAACAUGCAAUUAUAAAGUCACUAUAAAUCGUGUAAAUUUCAUUGUCAUAGAUCAAGCUUAGUAAACUGAAGGGAGAAAUAAUUUAACUAACACCUUUUUUAUGAACCACAGGCAGCUUUUGGGUCAAGAACUUUCUGGACUCAACACCAAAGAUCUAACAAAUCUGGAAAACCAAAUUGAAAUGAGUUUGAAAGGCGUUCGAAAGCAAAAGGUAAAAUCUACACAUUUAAAUUCUUCUGUGUUCAUGAAACUUAUGCUAAUAUCAAGUCAACGAUCUCUCCCAAAAGUAUUACUCCUUUUUUUAUUAUAAGGAUCCUAAAUGUAUUACUCUUUUCUUGCAGGAGCAGAUUCUGACGGAUGAAAUCAGAGAACUAAAUCAGAAGGUCUUACCAGAAAAACUAUAACAACUUCCAUAUGUCUUUAAUCUUUGCACCAAGAUGAUUAAUAUUGCUUCUACAGGGCAAUCUUAUUCAUCAAGAAAAUAUAGAACUCUAUAAAAAGGUAAACCUUAUUCGACAAGAGUACACAGAAUUGCAGAAGGUACUAAUUUAGAGAGUAUUCUCCAACUGUUGUUUGAGUAUGCAGUAUGCACCACAAAAAUGUGAUUUUACAUUAAACUUUUACCACACGCAUAGAUGUCCUUGACCUUGAUCUAAGGAAAACUUAUCUAUUCAGAUUUCUGAGCAAGGAUAUGAAAGUGCACCAAAUGGGGGUGUGCAGGCCACACAUACAAUCAGCAAUGGAUAUGACCUACAUGCACCAAUCAAUCUCCAGCUAAGCCAGCCACAAACACAAAAGAAUGGAACAUCAACAAGUGUCAUGCAACUUGGGUAAAUUCCUAUCAGAAUAAUUAGUCAUGCUUCAAACUCUCGCUUCUCCCCCACUCCCAUAAUUUGAUCCCUCCCUCAGAGGGCAAUAGAGAAAACGUGACAUUAACUCCACCACUAUUACUUUUUAAACAGGCUACAACUGCACUACACAGAAGACUGAUAGCUCUCUGUUUUCUCAACUAGACCUACAUCUAAAAGACACUUCUAUGAAUCCCAUUCUUGAUCAAGCUAGAAGGAAAAAGUUCAUCAAGCCUGAGGAGACUAUGCUCUGCUGAUAUGUUGGAGAGUUUUAUGAUUGAUGUGAACAUGCAGAAGUUAUCUAUGUAAAGUAAUUUAACUUAAACUAAGAAUAAAAACAUGAGGAUUAUCACUUGUGACUUGUCAAGGUUUGCUUCAGUAUUAUAUGUGUUGAAUGAAAAUGGUUGUACAUUAAUACCUGUGAUUGGUGCCCAUCCAGGAUGACUCAAAUAAGACUUGGUUUCAUGGAACUGUACAAGGCUGCAUCAAACUCGGAAGAAAUUUUAUUUGAGUUCCAUGGCUUAAUUUCCCGUUUCUGCUCAAGAGCCCCUUUAAAAGAAUGACUCCAGAAAUUUGAACUCAAUAUUGUAAGAUUCUCAGGUUUUUUGUGAGAAUGCUCAUCUUAUAGACUAAGAAGGCUUCCAUACACUCUCUUUUUCUGAAUGCUUCAAGAUACUAGUAAUGCACUAUCCUGCAAACUAUAACAUAAAGGUUACACAACUACAACAUAUUGCCAAAAUUCGAUCAGUGAACCAAACGAUGCUGUCAAACCAAUCGAAAUAGGAAAAAAUAAAUGCUGAAAAUGCAAAAUCUGACCGGAUAAAGUUUAACAUUAGGAUCAUUUUAUAAGUAUUCAUGAGCAUGUUUCUAUUGUUAUAAGGACCGACAACUCCUACAUGCAAUGCAUCAAAAUCACCCACAAUUAAGCACGUGAAACAUUAAGAGCCGCCGAAACCCUGUGAAAACGGGAAGUUGGACAAGAUAUACUAAUUCAUCAGACACCUCUUUUUGUCAGCCAAUUCAAACUAAGAAGAACAUUGACUUUUAGCUCCAGACAUGAGACUACAAUAGGGUCAACUUUCAAAGACCAGAAAUUAACUACUCUUAGACAAGUUUACUUUAGUUAACUCAACCUUAAGCCAGGAGGGAAAAUUGACUAAUCACUACACGGCUAUACAAGCAAGUUGCUACAUUUGGCUAACUGAAUCCUAGGCUGGGAGUUGAGUGCAAUUACAGGGAAAUUUUUUCAAAGUUUUCAGCUCACCUAUGAGGAAGAAAAAUAGAAGGAAAAGAAGUCCAGCUGAUGUAGUUAGGAAAUUCAUCUGCAAAGCAAAAGGUAAAUCUAAAAUGAUCAGACAGAUCAAAUAGAUAGCAAAGGAUCACCAGCAAAUGAGGUUUUGCCUUUUGGGACAUCUAUACUAUAUCAGAAGGACCAAUAGCAAGAAGGACAUCCAUACACUAAGGUUGCAUAUGCUCACAGUACAUAAUAAAAGCAUUGCACGCAACUUAUGAUAAGAACAUAUACAUGCUCAAUGCAAUGCAUCCAAAAGUAUAAAAAGUGGAUGUAUACGCUUGGAAGCCCAAGUGAGAAGAAUUAAGGCACAUAAAAAUCGGCAUCAUCCAUCACAUAAAUGAAGUCACCAAAAAGAAAAGCAUAACACUCUGAAUGUUUCAAAGUUUCAAGAUCUAGUGGAAUUUCAUUCAACGUACUGUGAGCAUUUGCAACCUUAAAGUGACAAGUAAAAUUUAUUAUGUACUCAAAAAGUGCUACUUUAUCUAUAAAAGUAUGUUUAACAGCAACCAGCAGCGGUGGUUACAUUUGAGGAAUAAGGAAAAUUGAUUUCAGUAUAAAACUCUGCAUUACUUACAGCAUUUUUUUACGUUAUAGAACUUUUCUUUACUAAUAUAAUCUCAACAUUACUAAUGCAGCAUUUUAGUUACCUUUUUAUCAAAGGUUAUGCAAGAGUUUAGUAUCACGUGUUUUAUAACUAAUAUUGGCACAACUUUUUCUGAAAUUUAUAUGGAAUAAAAUAAAAUGUGAAACAAUAAGAAAACAUCACUUCCAUUAAAAUAAAGGCAAGAAGAACCUUCAUUUGAGCAUGGGGAUUCUAUCUCGAUGAUAGAAGGAACUACUUGAGCACUUGACAAGAAGAAACUUCAUUUGCCGGAGCUGGGAAUGUUGUGUGUACUUUCAAGUUAACGUUGAAAGAUUCACUAGAACGAGUAUGCAUGGGAUAUUAUGAUAUGUGAUCUGUUUGGUAAAUGGGAGAUAGUGUUACUAAUUCGAGCAUUAGGGAAACCAGCAGGGAAUCAAAAGCGACAAUGCCUUGAGAUGGGAGUAAUAAAAAAAAUCAAUGGAAAUAAGAUAGAAGGAUAAAGGAGUCGCGAGCAAGAGAAGUUAGGUUUUCUACCCAACACAGUCUUUUUCAACCCAACAUAGCUUUUCAAUAAAACCAGUGUAUUCCUCGUGAUUAUACGUUGGAUGAACCAAAAAUCUCUGCCAUUCACUGGACACAAACUACCAGCUGUCAUCCUUCCACUGCUCAUCCUUUCAAUGCUCAGGCAGAGAACCAGUCACGAAGCCCCAACAUGAUGAUGCCCUCGAGAUUCAUGUUCAAAAAGAGCACACAACAGUGAUACAGUGACCUUUUAGUGGACCAACACUCCACUUAAACCACCCAAUCUAAUCCACAUGAAAGAAAUCUGGGAACCCAUUCAAAUUUGAACUUGACAAAUAUCCACCACUCCAAGAGGCUCAAACUCACAAUUAUAGGGUUAUUUGAAGUACAUUUUUAGCCAAUUGGUUUUGUUCUUCUCCGCCAUAAUUACAAAACAAACUUGUUGCACUUUAUAGUUGCGUGAUAUGUUAACCACCUAACUACAUCGAGAAAAA